rnacentral:rRNA from 1 species
CGCGGGGGCAACCCUGGCGACGAGAGGCGGACGGGUGAGUAACGCUUGGGAAUCUGCCCAUCAGCGGGGGACAACCCGGGGAAACCCGGGCUAAUACCGCAUACGCUCCACGGAGGAAAGCAGGGGACCGCAAGGCCUUGCACUGAUGGAUGAGCCCAAGCCGGAUUAGCUAGUUGGCGGGGUAACGGCCCACCAAGGCGACGAUCCGUAGCUGGUCUGAGAGGACGAUCAGCCACACCGGAACUGAGACACGGUCCGGACUCCUACGGGAGGCAGCAGUGGGGAAUAUUGGACAAUGGGGGAAACCCUGAUCCAGCGACGCCGCGUGGGUGAAGAAGGCCUGCGGG